CAUUUCCCCUCCUCUUCUCUACUAUCACUAUGCAGGCGAAGUACAAGGCAACGUAUAUUGGACUUGGUAAGGGACGCCUCUGCUAAGCUCAAGUCCCUCACUGAAUCCGAUCGCCCACACGACCUCGAUGUAUGCUGCUCUACUCUCUCGCUAACGAUUUCAACCUGAUUAUACAUCGAAUUUUACCCUAGACCUGUUCUAAUUCAAUUCGAGCUUCGAUCAUGAUUCUAGGUUGGGCAAAAGAGACAGGAGAUUCGGUUACUGGACAACGACGUUGCAUUCAAUGAAGCUGUAAUUGAGGAAAGAGAACAUGGAAUUGAAGAGAUUCAGGGCCAAGUUAGAGAAGUAAAUGAGAUGUUUAAGGACCUUGCAGUUUUAGUUAAUGAGCAGAGCAGGGCUGUUGACGACAUUGAACAUGGUAUCGAGGUUUCUGCUGUCUCAACGACCCAAGCUAAGCUGCAGCUCUCUAAGGCAUCAAAAAGUGGAAAUUCUAAAACCUCUUGGUGUUGGUGGAUGCUGGCAAUUAUAGUGAUCAUCAUCCUGGUCAUACUACGCGUUCUUUUUCUGUAGCAUGAUUUAUUCAUCGUCUUCGGAGCUGCAGACCUCUUCUUUGUUCGAGCAUAUGCUGUAUAUAUAUAGAUUGCAUUGUGUAAAUUAUUAGAUUUUUCUAGUCAUUUUUCUGCUAUCUAUGUUAUGUAUAUAUACUACUUUCCAGUUGCGUUUUAAGGUGGAGUUUUAUUAAAUGAACAAAGAUUGAAUUUGUAUGUAUAUUCUUA